GCAGCUGGAACCAUUCCGGUAUUGUGGCGCGAUUGUGUUCAUGGUGUUGCUCGAUUUAAUUGGCAAAUUAUGCGCGUUACGUGCCACGUGAAUGUAAUUAGUAUAUUUCUUGGUAGAAAGUAAAUACUUAUUCGUCGAAGUUUCUUUGAUUAGGAUAAUUUUUUGUAACUAGCUGCUCAGGACAAUAUAAUUACAAUGAGAUGCACGUGUUGGAUACAAUUGAGUGGGAUGGAAUCACUCUCCUGGACAAGGAAUUGCAGAGACAGGUUGAGGCUAAUCAUGAAGAUCUUCUUUCCUGAGAAACACUGGUUAGGGUGCUUCCUGUUAUGCAGAUACAUCACACAAGGUUCAUGGGUAGCACGCCACUGAUCGACCACGCCACAGACCGACACGGCGCAGGUCUGAGGGGGGGGGGUGGACGCUUGCCGUCUGCGCACGCCAUUGUGGGUAAAAGUAGUGAGCGACGCCUGGAGAGACGCUGUUCCUUCGGAGACGCCACUGGACGGAGGGCGCCGGUCUGCCACCUCUUGUGGUGUGAACGGGGACCAGUGCAAGCAGCCAUGGAAACAUGGCGGUCGACUCCACGCGUUCUACCUUUCGAACCUAAGCGCGGGUUGUAUAGCUCACAGGCGCUUACGACACGUCCAGUGGGCAGAAGACGAUUUCUUGCGAAGAUAU